AACGAACGCUGGCGGCAGGCCUAACACAUGCAAGUCGAGCGCACCUUCGGGUGAGCGGCGGACGGGUUAGUAACGCGUGGGAAUAUGCCCUUCACUACGGAAUAGCCUCGGGAAACUGAGAGUAAUACCGUAUACGCCCUUCGGGGGAAAGAUUUAUCGGUGAAGGAUUAGCCCGCGUCUGAUUAGAUAGUUGGUGGGGUAACGGCCUACCAAGUCUACGAUCAGUAGCUGGUUUGAGAGGAUGAUCAGCAACACUGGGACUGAGACACGGCCCAGACUCCUACGGGAGGCAGCAGUGGGGAAUCUUAGACAAUGGGCGCAAGCCUGAUCUAGCCAUGCCGCGUGAGUGACGAAGGCCUUAGGGUCGUAAAGCUCUUUCGCCAGAGAUGAUAAUGACAGUAUCUGGUAAAGAAACCCCGGCUAACUCCGUGCCAGCAGCCGCGGUAAUACGGAGGGGGUUAGCGUUGUUCGGAAUUACUGGGCGUAAAGCGUGCGUAGGCGGAUUGGAAAGUUGGGGGUGAAAUCCCGGGGCUCAACCCCGGAACUGCCUCCAAAACUAUCAGUCUAGAGUUCGAGAGAGGCGAGUGGAAUUCCAAGUGUAGAGGUGAAAUUCGUAGAUAUUUGGAGGAACACCAGUGGCGAAGGCGGCUCACUGGCUCGAUACUGACGCUGAGGUACGAAAGUGUGGGGAGCAAACAGGAUUAGAUACCCUGGUAGUCCACACCGUAAACGAUGAAUGCCAGACGUCGGGGGGCUUGCCCUUCGGUGUCACACCUAACGGAUUAAGCAUUCCGCCUGGGGAGUACGGUCGUAAGAUUA
rnacentral:rRNA from 1 species